rnacentral:lncRNA from 1 species
GGCCUGUAAAUGUGAAGUGAAUCAUUUCAGUUGUUGAUCAGUAAUGCUGGAAGGUAGUCUUGAUAUAAACUGAGAUUUUUGGAAGAGAUGAGGUACUUCACUUGUCCACACCAGAGACCAAUCAACACAUAAGUUUAAACGCUGAUGCUCGAGUAGCUCCGAGUUAAUUUGUCAUUUUUCUCUCUUACUACACAAACAGGAAGUCUUGACAAAACCAUAUCACUGCCACGGCCAAAUCUGACCGGUUCAAACUUCUUCACCCCUGAGCUGAAGGUGUGAGGGUUUUUAGGGGUGUAACACAAAUGACGAGACUUGCGACUCUGUCACCGAGUGAGGAGAAUGUGUGUUGAUCAUUGGCAAGAGAAACCGACGGCGGCUCCGAGCCACAUGGCCAAAGACUGUGAGCCCACUGUUGGCAGCCUCAGAGGAGAUGGCUACCUUCCAGUCAACACUCGGGCUGGGCAGCUCAGAAACCCUGCUGCAAUAUGAAUUAAAAGAUGUGAAUUUGAAUUUGGGAAACUGAUCUUGAAAUUGCACAUCAAAGUUGAAAUUCAUAAAGAGACCAGUAAAUUUCAUGACGCUCUAUUUAGUUUAAUGUAAAACCAUAAAAAUUCACGGUGUGGAGCACUUAACAAAUCAAGUGAUUAAUGGUCCUAAUUCAGUGGUUCAGUGGUGCGAUGCAAAUUUAAAUGAACAAAUUCAAACACAAUUUCUCUCAGACCAAUCAUCUUUCAGACAUCUGAACCACUUAGUUCACAUGCACAUUUCUGAUCAACACAUUUGAACACAAAAAAAGGCCUUCAAGUAAAUCCACCCACCUCUACUUAACAAGGCUACAGCCAUGUUAUAAACCACAGCUGUCCAUUAAAAUUCAUUCAGAUUCUCAGUGGAGUUUACAAUGCUCAGAUAUUCAUGUGGAAGAACAAAGAAAAAAAAAAAGGUCCAGUCAUGUUUGUUCAAAUCUGGAAGCUGUUGCUCUUGUACUUCCUAAAUAUUUCAAUUUUCCAUUGGGGAAACUCCCCCUGUCUCGCUGUCACUGGGGAAUAUAUAGUACAUAGUGAUUUAUUCUUGUCUGGGGUCAGAUGCUAAAGACUGAACAAACUUCCUGGUUUGUGAGUGAAUCAGAAAAAAAACAGCUCUCCCAAACCCAAUUCCCCCAAAAACCCUCUGAUAACCAAAAUGUUACUUUUUACAGUGUGUGAAUUACAUAUAAUGAGGAUUAUACUGAUGUAAAAGUCUAUUCUGCGCGUAUGUAAACAUUUAUUUGUGUGUGUCUGUGUGUGACACCAGCCAAAGCACUAAUGGCUUUGUGUAUGAGAUAGGCCAGACUGUACUGCUCUGACAGUGAAAAGAGGAUAACAGGGAGAUGAGGAGCAGAGAAAGAGAAAGAGAGAGAGAGAGAUAAAGAGAGGAGGAGACAGAAAAGGAGAGAGGGAGGGAGAGGGUGAGAGAGCCACUCAGAUACUCAUUAGCCACCAGACGCUAUCUGGAGUGUGUCAAUAGACUCAUGUUAGUGGGGUGUUAAAGCAUUGACCAAGAUACGCUGAGAGAGGCAGAGAAAGACGGAGAGGUGGGGGCAGAAAAGGGAAGGAUGGCGAACGCUCCCCCACCAUCGCAGCACCUGUCACACCUUGAGAUAAUCAUCCAUCAUACCCCGCCACUGACUGGAGAGUGUGUGGUCCUUUUUAAUGGCCCCCAUUGACACGAUUCGUCUUCUCCGCCACCCACAGCCUGUCACCAAAUUGCUACUCUUGCAGCGGGGAAACAUUUUAUUGCACCUGUGAAAAAGAUGAGAUGUGUGCAUUCUUGCCUUUGAGAAGUUUUUGCCUCGUGAAGUGAAGAUAGAAGGUGGAGAAAGUGCUAAUUUCUAUUGUCAAAGCAGCACGGGAGGUCCUUAUAUGAUUAUAUGACAGCAUGAGUCAUACAAGUCCCUUACUUUCAGUUUCCUCCAGCAAGGAGAAAGAGUGCGAACUUGUUUUAAAAUAAGAAAAUGGCCCUCGACUGUGAUGAUUUUAUUUGAAGAGAGCGGGAAUGAUGAUUUCCAACCACAGAAGCUUUCUUCAAACCAAAAGUCAAGUUAUUGCUCACAUAAAUCUGACUUUGAUGAGUGAAAGAAGCUGGGCAGACAGGUGGGAAAACCAUGAGGCCGUUUUGAAUGAAUAGACACAAUGUCCUUUACUCCCUGUAGACACCUGGCUCGCACACAAAGACACGGUUGUUCCCAUGGUUUGGUUCGACACCACAAAAGACACCUGCAUUAAAUAAAAGUUUGUGUAUAGAGCGUAAAUAUCUAGAUAUGUUGAUUCACAUGUACUUUAAAGACAAUUACUAUAAAUCUGUAGCACCGGGAUCUCGUCAUGUCUCUCUCUCUACGUGAUCGCUCUUCCAAGGGAAACUGCGGUAAGGUGAGCUCAGACGUUGGAAAAGGCGUUAAUAGCGCAUCUAACGCGACUAGAUGUCCCAUGGUGCAGCUUGGCACGCGAGCGGAAGGGGCCAAGCUAAUGGGAGGACCCCGGUGGGAGGGUGGCACGCACCCAGGGCCUCUGGCGGCCAUUUAAUAAAGCAGUGCGGAGAUGUCUGCCUGCUGUGGUUUCUAGGUUUCAGAUGAUUCUAGUUUCAGGUGACAUGCCUCAUGCUCUAUUAGCAGACUCUUCCGACCACAGUUUUCUUUGGCAGCCGCACAGGUUCAGACUGCAGCAGCUCUGAGCAAGACCAGUUUUCCACACGCCACCUUUCUCCUCCUCCAUCAUAUACACAUGUAAAUAAAUGUCUGCACACACACAUGUGUGGGCACCAACACGUACAAAUCUAGAUCUCUAUUUCAUUAAUAUAUACAUCCAGACACAUAAUCAAACAUAAUCAUGCACAGACACUGACAGACAGGCCCCGCCGUCAGUCUCACUUGUAAAUAGAGGUCUGUUGAUGUACAGAGAUAGGAAAGGGAGUCCAGCACACAGACAUCCAUAUAUUUUGUCUGAGCCAAUACUGCAGGUCGGCCUUGACAUGGUAGGAGUGCAGGAUUCAGGCUCCAGUGGUGUUUGUCAAGUACAGAGCUGUGUCCAAACAUCCUGCUCGGGCCUGUGAAGUGGUCGGAUGCUGGUCCCUCUCGCUCGGCCUCUUUUUCAGCACGCUGGCAUGCGUUCUGGGUGGCAUCAGGUCUCUGGCCUCAGUCAAAGACCUGUCUCCCGGACUCCUGCUAAGCUUCAUUCUCCCCUUUCACCUCCCCUGACCAUCCCCUGCAUCUGCAUCUCGGCGGAGUCGUGCAGACUGGGUAAUUCGGUUCUGUCUUUUCCAAAAAGGAUCCUGUGAGAGUUGAAAGUGCUAAAAUAAAGAAAGUGUGUCAUCUUCUGCGGUUUGCAUGUAAAUCUACAGAGAAAUUUGGAAUUGAGUUUUCCUCUCUGUUAGAGUGCUUAAGAGUCUGCAAAGACUUUUGUCUUUUGUCAUCGUGACAAGUGUAUUAUAGCAGCAUAUUGUAAUCACACAAAGGCACUUUUGUACCGUUCAAAUCACAGUUUUUAAAGUUAUUGUUCAGCCGUAUGAAAAACUUCUUCACUGGUGAUGUCUCUGUUAUCAUCUCUGUUGGAUAUGAGGGUCUGACUGAAAGUUGAAAAUUCUUGUGAAUCCUUUAAGUCGUUCUGAAUCUGCGUGAAGACGACUGCCAUGGAAGGUGAAUUCUCUUUGUUUUUUUAAGCCACAAGGACAGAUUUGAUAGGAAGACGCCAUAGACUUUAUAUAGAACGGAUGCCGUCUACCUCCUCGCUGAGUGAAGCCACCCCAAGAACAGCACACUCUGACGACAAGCUGCAGUAUCCAUCCAUCCCUAUGGAGCUGUGGACAAACUUUAGAAAUUUAUUACACAGAAUAUAAUUUUUCUCCCCCCUGCUUGCGAUGUUGACAUGUAGUUAUUGUAAUACUGGUUGUUCAUGUAGAUUCUCAUUCAUCCAGGUCAUGGUUUUUCUCGAAAUCUCCAAAAUCUGGCAACUGGACUGUGUAGAGUUGAAACACCAGCUCCCCCCACUAACACUUUUAGAACUAAAGAAGCUUCUUGGAUAAGCGGCGAAACGUCUUCUCAACUCUACACAGUCCAGUUGCCGGAUUUUGGAGAUUUCAUGUCAGACUGGUUUGAGCUUAAGUCCUCUUUUUUCUGUACAGCUCAAUUUUUAAGUUAUUAGGAGGUUCAUGUUUUCUAUGAUUGACACUUGAUAAAACCUAUGGGCGUACGGAGAUUGUGUGCAAUGCUACUGCGCAAUGUUGGUUUCAGAAAGUGGAGAAAAAUCACAGAAAUACUGCGAGCUUUUCUGCUUUAAAUCCGUUUACUGGCGAAAGGCGGAACCAAGUUGUCCAUCGUAUAUACAGUCUACAGAAGAUGCAUGUAGCAUCUGUGUCAAAACUUCUGUUUGUCUCUUCUGAAGGCGCCAGGUUUUCUCUCUUGUACUAAAAAAAAUGUACACCUUUUCCCCAAACAUCCACACCACAGUUGAUUUCUUUCAGUAUGACCUGUCAGUCACUCAUGUAGGCAUUCAUAAUGGAUUCUGGCAUGCUUUACGUUGAAGCCGUUUAUCUUAAAAGCUGACGAGAAAGACAUCAGGGAAGAUUUUUUUUUAUGUAAAGAGAGAUCAUUUGAACAACGAUGAGGGGAUUCAUGAAUCACAGCACUGAUGUGUGUCUGUUUAUGUCUGCCUGCUGUAUGUUUGCUGUGUAAUCCGCAUGGAAUCGAGAUUUUCAACAGAGGAUAUUUUCAUCCAGGAUGAUCUGAUUUUAAUGAAAGCUUCUGUCAGUCACAGGGCUAACCGGUGUAAUUUGUUGUAUAUACUGUGGCAUGAGGGAAAAUUGCAAGCAAACAGGCCUGUAAUGUUCAGGUGAGACCAGUCGUUUUGGAAACAGACACAUAUAUAUAUAAACUAACAGCAUGAAAAAGUGUAUGUCUAGAGUGAGAGUCGUUCUUGAUCCUUUUCUUCAGACGCGUACUUCUUAUUUAGAGUGAUUUAACAUCUCUUUCACACACAGUUUAGUUCCAGCUACACAUGUUUAGCGCAAAAGUAUACCUUACUAUGCAAUUCAAACAAAGUGUCACCAGCCACAUCACAAAAAGUCUAAUAUUUGCUCACAAAAUCAGCUCACCACUUCAACUAUAGCCAGGCGUUUCUCCUUUGAACGCGGCCUGUGUGACAGCUCAGCUGACCAGACAGGAGCCGGACCAGCUGGCUCACGUGACCGUCGUUGACCGUGUUAUUUACAUUGGGCUCAUGGCGAGCUGUUUGCUGAGAGGGAUAAUUUGACAGUCACAUAAACAGACAGACAGACAGACAGACGGAUAAACAGAGUGUUGGCUACUGACAGAGAUCUCACUGUCAGUCUCACUGCCACUCUGUUCCCUCUCUCAAGCCCAACAGCCAUGGGGCAAUAUUUGAGCAGACAGUCACCAAGUCUUCCAAAUAUUGAACAACAUGCACUAGCAGUUUUUUUUCCAAGUGAUUUUUGGACUCGCUGUAUCUGUUUUCUUCUUUUUCUUCUUAUGCUGCAGCGUUGGCAGGAAAUGCUCGGCUUGAACGAGUGUCUCUUCAUUUAAUUUAUUUUCCCCUCUUCUCUCUUUUUCUAGAUUUAUGUCUCCAUACUGUGAAGAGUUUGUCAGGUUGAACUUGAUAUUUCAUUUAUAGUCAUAUUUAAUGUUUAUUACCUCUGUCACUGUGUCACAACAAGCAGACUGGACGUGCUUUUAGCAGAAGAAGGGGUGAAGGUUGAUCAUCAGAAAAUACAACCAAAGCACACGGGGCAGGAUCAGCAAAGGUAAUAGACUCACUACUGGGUCAAGGGAGUCACGUAAACUGACUAAGCACACGUUUUUUUUAAAAGUUGCUUUAAUGCUUUGGUGCAAUUGGAGUAUUUGUGUCAUAGUUAUCUCUUUGACUUAUCUUUUUUUCUGUUUUAAUUGAGGUAUGGUUUAAUUUAUUGACAGAAGCUGUUAAAGGUUUACUAGCAAUAAAAAAGGGGCAACAUUUUUGCAUGUUUUGGUAACACUUUACUUGACGCCUAUCUCCAUAACGCAUUAUAAAUAUAUGUAUAAUGCAUUGUAAUCAUGUUAUAGCACUGUAUAACUAUAGUUAUAAACACUCAUAAAUGAUCAUAAUGCUUUAUAUGUCCAGACAUUAUAAAGCAUUUUAUCAUGACUUAAAGGGUUGGGUAUUAUAAUGUGUUAUAACUGUUAAAAACUCACUGACAAUGCCCACAUAGAUAAUGCAUUAUACAUAUAUUUAUAAUGUGUUAUAAUUUGCUUAUAAACUUGUAUAACGAUCAUUAUAAACACUAAUUAAUUAUCAUAAGGCUUUAUAACAAUAAACAUAACACAUUAUAAUACCUGACUGAUUAUUGCUAUAAAGCAUUAUGAUCAUUAACGAGUGUUUAUAACUAUAGUUAUGCAGUGCUAUAAUGUGAUUAUAACGCAUUAUACAUAUAUUUAUUACGGUUAUAGAGAUAGGCGUCAAGUAAAGUGUCAUCCACCUUGAUAUACUUAACUUUAAGUCUGUUGUUUUUCCAAGUAAAUUCUAUUAAAGCUAUCGCCACUCUGAUACAUGUCUUACAGCAUUCCUAGUGUCUGCUUUGUGUAGGCGUGACAGUUUUUGUGUUAUCAGAUGGUGUAAGUGCUUGUCUUUUUGUCUGUAUGUGUGUGGAAAUGAGCGCUUAUUGUGUGUCCUCGUAUGUGUGCACUUACAUGUGUGUUCCACGCCUGCUGCAUACUCUGACGUUGUCACACCUCUCUUGGUGUCCUGCUGUGUUUCCCGCGGCGUCCUGAGGUCCUGGAUGCUGUCUCAGUAUCGCUGCUGAGGAUGGUGGGCGUCUGGCACAGAUAACACUCUGAUAGCUCCAUGAUGGACAGCCGGGAAACUUUUUUCCUUCGCUCUCCUUCCUCCCUCCUCCUCCCCACUGAACGAUAUGACAACCUGCUGUAAAUGCAGCUCAGAGGUAUAUGUGUGUCUGCAUGUGUGGAUGCAUUUGUGCAUUUGAUUGGAUGGGGGUUGGGCAUAUGAAAGCUAUGUUAUGAAUCAUAAUCUUUGUCUUGAUAAAUCCUGGAAGAAAAAAGAAGAAAAAAGUCUCCCUGAAACUCAGAGCAGCAGGAAAAAGAAAAACAACCAGAAAACAAGGAAAGUUAAUAAGAAAUGUGAAUUAAUUUCCCUUUUUAUUCCUCUUUCUUUUCCCUUUGUAUUAACAGUUUUCAUCUCCUCUCAAUUAAAUAACAACCCCUUAUGCUGCCUCCUAAGUUGCUCCUUAGUUUCCACUGGCUGUUUGGUUAUUCACAAAUGUCAUUGGCAUUCUUUUAUCCUCUCCUUAUGGUGGCCUGUGGGGGAAAGGCUAAUAUCUUGUGUGUCAAUUCACAGCAUGAAACUUUUAGAUCUAUAUAAGGUUACUCAUUGCAGAACUUAUUUUCUAAGAGAGAAAAGAAAUCCAUUAUUUAUGAACAUAUUCCCAGUCCAUGGCUAAUUGUUUAUUUUCUUCACAAUUGCUUUGAUGUAACCAGCAAGACACUUACAGAAGUCUGUCGAAAAGCUGAAUAUUUUCCAUUACACCCCUUUAAUAUAUAAUUAUUAGUGUCAUUGCACUAAAGUUUAUUUUGGUUCAGAGUUUCCCACAUUUAGAAUUGAGUAAAUAUUUUAGAUUUUGUCAUGUCCAGCUCCAACAUGUGCCAGCGUGACUUCUUAUGACGCAUUUUUACGUUUUCUUUUGUCUCCUUUUUAACUGCAGCCAUUCACUUCCUUUGGUUGUGCUUGUGAAACUCUCGCUCAGUAAGAUAAACUGCUGUUUAAGUAAGCUGGGCACAAGAUGCCGUGUUCUUCUCAGGGUUUUCUGUAAUUAAACAUGCUGCGCAUUCCUCAGUUAACGUUACAUCUCAAGCUGCCCGAUCAGCACUCCACAGUAUUUAGAGAAGUAAAGAGCAGGAGACGCCCAAGCCGCAGCAGAUAUCAAACAGUCUCAAAAUCGGUUUAAAGUACAACAGUGAAACUGGAACCUAUGAUUAAAUUAGGGAAACAUAAAACAUGAAAGAUGGAUGGAUGUAUACACACCCUGACAGGGCAAAACCUCUUUACAAUAUACCCAGAGUUAGUGAAAGUCGAGUCAUCUUGGUGUGGUUGUUCUGCGGUUUGUUGUAGUUUUAAAUCACUCUACGCAGCCAUUGGGGUAAUUAUAUAUCACCUGGUUGUCUGUUUACUUAGUCUACUGCUUUAUAACACUAAAUCUAGGGUAUACCUCAAAUUUUGAUGGAAGUGAAUGGAAAUGCUCGCCAUGUUGAAUUAACUCAUAAAACCUUGAUUUGAAUUUUAUGAUGAAACUUAUUUGCAACAUCUUUGGUUUGACUUUCCUCAAUUUUUUUUUUUAUUUCUAUAUGUUCAUGUGUGAUUUUUAUGAUAUGUAUAAACUGCACAGCCAAACAACACUGCUUAUAUUUAAGAGGGCUAGUCAAGGAUAGCUGGUGAAACAAAAGGUGCUGAUCUGGGUUUUCCAUGCAGCUAAUGGAUAUAAUCCAAAGAGAAUAACAAUUUAUCACUAUUGGCUCAAAAAGUAAGUAUGCAAAGCCUCUGUGACUUCACUCACUGGUUUCUAAAGGAGUGUUUUGAAGCCCAGUGUUAGAGGCUGCCCUAUUGAAAAUACUUAACUUGGUGGUAGUGAGGCAAUCUCAAGGAUAGAGUGGCCAUACGUCCGGAUUUAGUUCGGUCAGUCUGGAAUUAAAAUGCCCAGUGCAGCCUAAAGCUGGACAGUUAUUUGUCUUUUUGGAGCUUCACCUGAACGCAAUUCUGUAUGUCGUCCAAUGGUGUAAGACUUUGGGUUAAAAAAUAAAGAUUGGUUAAAAAUGAUUGCCUAAAAGCAUUGUCACUCAAUUCUCUGAUUUCUCAUUGGUUGAUAAAUGUAAACAAGCCGCCCCCUGUUCCUAUGUGCUAGCUGUGUCUUUCAUAUAGGUAACUGCUGAAAAGACAGACCUCAUUCAAUGCAAAGAUGAUUUGCAUGCAUAUUGCACACUUCGUCGCUGUGAUGUGGACGUUAUCACACAAGGAAAGGCGGCCAUUGAAAGGCAUGCUAGUUUGUUAGUUUAAAUGUGCUAAUUUGCAGAUUUAAGGUCAUAAAUGUUCUGCUUUGUGGCACUGCACUUUGCAAGACAGAUGUAUUGAAUAAAUAUGAAUACUGUGAACAACAAGUUGUAUGUUGUGAUUUUUCUUUCCUCUCUAAAUGCCGCAAAAUGUCCUCCUUUUUAGUGUUGUGGAAAUUACCACCCUACUCCAGGCUAGGAGCUAAAACUCGCCACUUGUUCUCGGCUGUGCCCUUAAUAGUCUUCUUAGAGGAUGAGCUAUAAAACAGUCACCCUAUACGUCAUGUACAAGUGAAGGAAUGAGCUUCCGUGACCAAAACUGGUCUUUGGACCAUGCUGCUGGGAACUGCAGCGUUUGGCAUUUCCAGGUUUACUUCAGUUUUUGUUGUUGUUGUUGACUUGCAGGUUGCUGUUCCUUAAACAGAAGUCUCUUUACGUAAUGUCUUCUGCCUUUUUUUUUAAUAAAUAUGCUGUAUUUUUUCAUUGUUGUGAAAGUAAAUGGUAACCUUGCUGCGUUUAGUGAGGAUAAAAACAUAAAACUGUUUUCAAAAGUCUGUUUGUGGCGCAGUUAAGUUUAACU